rnacentral:lncRNA from 1 species
GUGUAACAAUAAAAUAAAAUGAUAUAUGAGCAUGAUUUUGCUAGUGAGGGAGUUUUACAUAAACAGUAGGAUUUAAUUUAGAAGAAAAGUUUAUAUAGCAAUGUAAAAGAGGAGAGUGCCUCUUCCUGAGAUGUGGGCAUGUUGAGGCUUGACAGAUGUCAGCCAGGAAUGUCCUGGAAGUGAUCCCUGCUAUUGCUCCAACAUUCUCAAGACGCCCUGGGAAGCUCUUUCCAUUCCUCUCCUCUCUAUAGGUUUCCCUGGGAAAGUCAAACAAUCCUUGACCACAGGAGGAACUCCUUUCCUUCACGUGAUGGCAGACCACCAUUUUGUCAGGGAAUAAACGGGGCACCCGGGUCCUAAAGAGCAAGAACUUAGAGGAAAUCCACCCCUUAAUUUUAUUUCUUUUUUUUUCAACUUGGCUUCUAAAUGCUUGAUGUAGGUAGAUCAGUUGGGGAUGAAAUACUACAGAAGUUCAGAGAGAGCCACAGCUGAACCUGAGUUUGAACUUGAGUGUGACUGUCUGAUGCGCCAGGAUCAAGAGAUUCCAGCCUCACAGACCCGCAGGAGGUGAUGGGUGGGGAUGGAGGAGAGCAGCUCAAGUCGGAUUCUGAGCGGGGCCCAUCCACCAGUCUGAGCUCUGGGGAGAGAGCACAGCAGCCUCAGGUAGAAGAUGACAUCGUGUGCAUUGUGACUUAACAGGAGCACCCCCGUGCUGCUUUCACGGAGA